UACGUAGGCAGCAAGCGUUGUUCGGAAUUACUGGGCGUAAAGAGUGUGUAGGCGGUGUUCUAAGUCUGUUGUGAAAUCUCCCGGCUUAACUGGGAGGGUGCGGCGGAAACUGGAAUGCUAGAGGAUGGGAGAGGUAAGCGGAAUUCCUGGUGUAGCGGUGAAAUGCGUAGAUAUCAGGAGGAACACCUGUGGCGAAAGCGGCUCACUGGACCAUAACUGACGCUGAGGCACGAAAGCUAGGGGAGCAAACAGG
rnacentral:rRNA from 1 species